UUCCGGUUGAUCCUGCCGGACCUGACUGCUAUCGGAUUGAUACUAAGCCAUGCGAGUCAUUGUAGCAAUACAAGGCAGACGGCUCAGUAACGCGUAGUCAACCUACCCUAUGGACGGGGAUAACCUCGGGAAACUGAGAAUAAUACCCGAUAGAACAUUAUACCUGGAAUGGUUUAUGUUUCAAAUAAUUUAUUGCCGUAGGAUGGGACUGCGGCCUAUCAGUUUGUUGGUGAGGUAAUGGCCCACCAAGACUAUUACAGGUACGGGCUCUGAGAGGAGUAGCCCGGAGAUGGGUACUGAGACACGGACCCAGGCCCUAUGGGGCGCAGCAGGCGAGAAAACUUUGCAAUGUGCGAAAGCACGACAAGGUUAAUCCGAGUGGUUUCUGCUAAAGGAACCUUUUGUUAGUCAUAGAACCACUAAUGAAUAAGGGGUGGGCAAGUUCUGGUGUCAGCCGCCGCGGUAAAACCAGCACCUCAAGUGGUCAGGAUGAUUAUUGGGCCUAAAGCAUCCGUAGCCUGCUUUGUAAGUUUUCGGUUAAAUCCAUACGCUCAACGUAUGGGCUGCCGGGAAUACUGCAUAGCUAGGGAGUGGGAGAGGUAGACGGUACUCGGUAGGAAGGGGUAAAAUCCUUUGAUCUAUUGAUGACCACCUGUGGCGAAGCGGUCUACCAGAACACGUCCGACGGUGAGGGAUGAAAGCUGGGGGAGCAAACCGGAUUAGAUACCCGGGUAGUCCCAGCUGUAAACUAUGCAAA
rnacentral:rRNA from 1 species